rnacentral:lncRNA from 1 species
GCAGGGGUCGGCCAGUGUUGAGUCUAAUGAAAGCAGAUAUGAUAUUGGACAAGUCUUUGAUGGGCCCAGGGAAGAAAGUCUUGCUGAUGAGUCGUCCCUUGAAACUUUGCAGAAUGAAGCUGGAGGACAAAGUAGUCUACAAGAAUCUGGUGAAGUAUCUUAUGAACGUUCUUUCCAAGAUGGUGAGAGAAGUAGGACCUCUUGGUUAACGAAUAUUGUACAAAAUGUAGAAAGGGUUCCUGUUGAUCAUAUUGAUGGCCAAGAACCUGCUUCUCAAGCUGAACAAUGGCAGGAAGAGGAUCAGGAAACUGAGGAUGCAGACUGGCAGGAAGCUAGUGUGGACCAUAACG